CAGCAGCAGCAGCUGAUGAUGAAGAAGAGAGGCUGUUGCAGAGGGGGGGCACCUUUUAUUUCUAUUUUUAAAGGGACAGGACACUAAUUUUACCCCACUUCAACCUUGAAUUAAGGGGGGUGGGGGAGGAAGGCGGCUCAAUUCCUUCCCCCACCCUCCAGCCCUGAGCCCUGAGAGGGGUAUUGAGCCUGAGAGAGAAGGGGAAGGAGUUUCUUCUUCUUCGAAAACCCCCAUCCACGACUCCUACCCUCACACCCCUCCACUCGCCUCCCUCCCGAGCCCCCUCCACCCUCCUUCUCUUUGGCCGUGAGAGGAGGAGAGAAAGAGACCAAAAGCCUCUUAGCAACACAGACCUUUUGCUGCUGCUGCUGCUGUUGCUGCUGUUGCUGCUGCUGCUGCUGCUGCUGCUGCUGCUGUUGCUGCUGCUGCUGCUGCUGCUGCUGCUGCUGCUGCUGCUGCUGCUGCUGCUGCUUGGCCCUGGCUGGAGACAUCUCACUACACCCAGGAGCAGCCACUUCCCCAGCUCUCCUCCUCCUUCUCCUCCUCCUCCUCCACUCCCCCCCCCCCUUUAUUACCCUUUGUGUCAUCCUCCACAGCUCCAGGGAAGGCACUCUAAAGUGGGGGGCAGGAAAGAUGAACAUUGGCGAUGACAAUUUCUGCACUUGUGAAGGAUAUUCUGAAGGCUUUAUGGUUUACACACAAGAUCUUUAGAAAUUAGACAGUAAAGGACCAAGUAAAUAAAUACCAGAAAACAAGAGCACAGACUGUUUUUCUUCAUCAGUCCACAAAAUCCUAAUACUUCUGUAAUUCCAUACAGCACAGAGGAAUGAACACCUUGACAGAUGGCCACAGAAGAUGUCAACAAUUUUUUGGAG
rnacentral:lncRNA from 1 species